ACUACUUAUUACAAACAUACAAAUUUCAAGUCGAUUGACAUUUUCUAUUAAAAUAUGGUGAAAACUGAAAUGUGAAGGUAUUAAUUAGAGAAACUUAAAACUCGUAUUCUUAUUCUCUGGCUGGAGAAAAACAUUUGGAGUAACUGAAUUAAUGGAAAAUGACUCUCAAGAGUCGGAGGCGUUCUGGACUAGGAACCAAGAAGCUUGGAGCCUCUCCUCGUCGCAAUUCACCCGUUAAGAGACGUCGUUCCACAUUGAGUGUAGUGGAAGGACCUGGAGUGACCAACAUCAAGGUCUCGGUUCGCGUUCGCCCCUCCAACGAUAGGGAGCUGGAAAUAUCAGCAUUCAUAUAAAUUUUCCCAUCUAAUUGCAUUUGAAAGAAGAAAAGAUAAUUACUUCAUUAGCUCAUUUUUGUCAAGUUUAAUUUCGUCAUAUCAUCAAUUAAACAGUAUGGAGGGGCCUCACAGUUCUAAAGUUAAAGUAUGUGAAUUCUGUAUAAAACUGAAAGUAAUAUUAACCUGCAUAUAUUUGUUCAAUCGGACAUUAUCGACAAUUUCUGUGGACGUAAGGUUUCAUGGGAUUAGGAUUUAAUUGAGUCAAGUAAUUUGGAUUCAAAUGAAGAAUUAUUAUAUUAUGCAAAGUGCGUUUCAAUUGCACAAAUUGAGGAAAAAGAAGAUGAUAAAGCUGAGAGAACUAAGGACCUUCUCGAAACAAAUGUUUUUGUUUAAAAAAAUACCCAAAACAGUUUAUCUGAAGUAGACAAUUAUAAACGUCAUGAUAAACGCCUUCCAACACCUCAAGAAAAAGAAAAACAUUCCAAAGUUUUGACUCCUGUUCCAAUAUUUGAUAUCAGUAUGGAAGAAGAUCAACCAUUUGAACCUUCUCAGGUUGAUACGAUGACAUCUUGUACUUGUGAAAAUGAUUUGAAAAUUUCCAACUUAGAAGAGGAAUACGAAAAUGGUAACACCAGCAUCGUUUCAGACUUGAAUUCAAAUCAAGUUGUCGAAAUUAAGUUCUCCGUCAAGUUCAGACUGUGUAAAGGUAAUUGAAUCUUUUCGUGAGAGCAAUACAGGCAGUGAUUUUGAAGAUAUUCAAAAAUAUGAUUUAUCGUCAGUUGAACUAUGUGAAAACUUGAAUUCCAUAUGCACGAUAGAACUUAUUAGUUGAAAUCCAGCACAAAUGGAUGUUGAUUUAAAUACCACUCAUACAAUAGAUGUUCCUGUAGGCAAUUCUACAAGAGGCAAGACCCAUUUAGAUUUUGAGUCGAAAAAUUGAAAGUUGUUGACUUAAAUUUAACUCAAACUCUAAAUUUGCAUAAAACCUCUGGUGAAAGUGAUACCUCUAAAAACAAUCGAAGAGAUACUUGUAUCUUAACUAAACCUUCGCGGUUAUUCCUAUGACGCAAAAUGUGAAAAUAGAAAAGAUAUCCCCAAGGGUGAUCUUGACGAAGAACACUCGUGGGAAAACCGUUUCCUGCACUCCUCCAGCCAUGGGUUCAGUAGAACCUAGAUGCAGACUCAAUCCGAGUAAAUCCACUUCACGCCUUCUCACAUCAAACGAUGUGAGAUUUGGAUCAUCCAAUGGACUAUCCUUAAAAGGUAUUAUCAUUUUGUUUAUUAUGGUUCUAUUUAUUAGGUCAUUAUCGUCUCUUCCUUUGUCUGCGCCAAGCUACAUGGCUCCUACCACAGCCUCUUUUAGUCGGCUCAAGGGACAGAAAGAGAACAAAAACCUUCUAAUGACCCUCCGAUAUCAACUAGCCAAAAAAUGUCAUUCUUGCGUCAUCUCAAGCCUAAAAAAUCAAUUCUUAAACUUUGGACCUUUGAUUUUAAAUCGAUUAGUGUCGAUAACCACACUAUUAUGACCUCAUGUAUCUGGAUACGAACCUCUUAGUACAAAGUUUUCUGUUCCUUUACACUGGAUAACUCAGAAAAUCAUUUUAUGCAACAUCUUAAAUAUUAAUUAGUUUGUUUUGUUUUCUAAAAUUUAUAUUAAAAAAAUAGAUUAAUUAUUUUAUAACAA
rnacentral:lncRNA from 1 species